AGGAGGCGUGGAUCCUAGGCUACAGUUCAACAAUAUUCAUUUUGUUUUCCAGUUAACUCUUGCCAGAUCCUUCCGGGCUGCAGAUCCAGGAGCGCACAGAGCAGUCAAGCAUUAACACCAACACCAUAGACCAUGUCGGACUCAGAGACUGCAGCUCCUGCCGAGACCCCUGUCCCAGCACCCUGUGUGGCCAUCAAGGCAGAUUUAGACAAAUGUGUAAAGGAGAAUGGCGAGGAAGCGUGUAAGGAGCUGAUGGAGGCAUUUGCUGCCUGUGUGAAGAGUAAUGCUGAGGCUUCAUGAGGAGCUCAACAUGUAUGAAAAGGGUUUACUGCACUGAGUCCUCCCUUCCCAGCAUUCCCUGUAGCUCAUGGCACUGGACUAAAUGAUGGGGUUUGGCAGCAGAGACCAUACUUGUGUCUCUUCCCUUCUCUACUACUCAUGUGAAGCUUACGUGGAUUCCAACAACCACCAACCUCCUCUCCCCUAUUAUGGCUGUUUGUACUGAUCUGUUUGUCGACAGUUUGGAAGACCUUGUGAUUUGAUGUAAAUGAUGUGUCUCAGAUGCUUACAAAAUUGAAUAAAGAUUUUAAAAUGGUUCAA